UACGGAGGGAGCUAGCGUUGUUCGGAAUUACUGGGCGUAAAGCGCACGUAGGCGGCGAUUCAAGUCAGAGGUGAAAGCCCGGGGCUCAACCCCGGAACUGCCUUUGAAACUAGAUUGCUAGAAUCCUGGAGAGGUGAGUGGAAUUCCGAGUGUAGAGGUGAAAUUCGUAGAGAUUGGGAAGAACACCAGUGGCGAAGGCGGCUAUCUGACGGUUCGUUGACGCUAAGACGCGAAAGCGUGGGGAGCAAACAGG
rnacentral:rRNA from 1 species